GUGAGUAGAAUGUGAACCCAAUAACAUUGGAUAGCAGAUGAAACAUUCUAGAAUGCUCCACUUCAGCACCUUUUACAAAUUAUUGGUGAAUUCAGACUGCCAAAUACCGAGGACACUGGCUGCAUUCUCUUUUUAAGCUUGAUCUACAGACCUGGUGAGACAGAGCUACCUGGAUGCAGUAUAGUCCUUUAACUCCUGAGAGCCCAGUGUGGACCCAAUCACAGAACUUUGAAGACAUGACCAUCUGGAUCUACAGGCACAGCCUCUGGAGAAUUGUGAAGCCCUUCCUGAGCUGUUUAUGGAAAAGAGGACAUGAAUCAACACAGGCUAGCGGCUAUGUCUAUACUGCAAGGCUGGCUACGUCUACA